UACGUAGGGGGCAAGCGUUGUCCGGAAUCAUUGGGCGUAAAGAGCGCGUAGGCGGCCCAGUAAGUCCGCUCUGAAAGUCAGGGGCUCAACCCCUGGAUGCGGGUGGAUACUGCUGGGCUAGAGUCCGGAAGAGGCGAGUGGAAUUCCUGGUGUAGCGGUGGAAUGCGCAGAUAUCAGGAGGAACACCAAUAGCGAAGGCAGCUCGCUGGGACGGUAUUGACGCUGAUGCGCGAAAGCUAGGGGAGCGAACGGG
rnacentral:rRNA from 1 species